rnacentral:rRNA from 1 species
UACAGAGGGUGCGAGCGUUGUUCGGAAUGAUUGGGCGUAAAGGGCGCGUAGGCGGUCACGCACGUCCGUUGUGAAAUCGCUCGGCUCAACUGGGCGGGGUCAGCGGAUACGGUGUGACUGGAGCAAGCUAGGGGGCAAUGGAAUUCCCGGUGUAGUGGUGGAAUGCGUAGAUAUCGGGAGGAACACCAGUGGCGAAGGCGGUUGCCUGGGGCUUUGCUGACGCUGAUGCGCGAAAGCGUGGGGAGCGAGCCGG